CCUACGGGGGACAGCAGUGAGGAAUAUUGGUCAAUGGACGCAAGUCUGAACCAGCCAUGCCGCGUGCAGGAAGACGGCUCUAUGAGUUGUAAACUGCUUUUGUACGAGGGUAAACGCAGAUACGCGUCUCUGUCUGAAAGUAUCGUACGAAUAAGGAUCGGCUAACUCCGUGCCAGCAGCCGCGGUAAUACGGAGGAUUCAAGCGUUAUCCGGAUUUAUUGGGUUUAAAGGGUGCGUAGGCGGUCGGAUAAGUUAGAGGUGAAAUCCCGAGGCUCAACUUCGGAAUUGCCUCUGAUACUGGUCGGCGAGAGAGUAGGUGCGGUAGGCGGAAUGUAUGGUGUAGCGGUGAAAUGCUUAGAGAUCAUACAGAACACCGAUUGCGAAGGCAGCUUACCAAGCUACUUCUGACGUUGAGGCACGAAAGCGUGGGGAGCAAACAGGAUUAGAUACCCGUGUAGUC
rnacentral:rRNA from 1 species